rnacentral:rRNA from 1 species
UACAGAGGGGGCAAGCGUUAUUCGGAAUUAUUGGGCGUAAAGGGCGCGUAGGCGGCUUUGCAAGUGACGGGUGAAAGCCCUCGGCUUAACCGAGGAACUGCCUGUCAGACUGUGAGGCUUGAGACCGGGAGAGGUGAGUGGAAUUCCCAGUGUAGCGGUGAAAUGCGUAGAUAUGCGGAGGAACACCGAUGGCGAAGGCAGUCCCCUGGGCCUGUACUGACGCUCAUGCACGAAAGCGUGGGGAGCAAACAGG